rnacentral:rRNA from 1 species
GAUGAACGCUAGCUACAGGCUUAACACAUGCAAGUCGAGGGGCAGCACAGUGUAGCAAUACAUGGGCGGCGACCGGCGCACGGGUGCGUAACGCGUAUCCAACCUUCCCGUUACUCAGGGAUAGCCUUCCGAAAGGGGAGAUUAAUACCUGAUGGUGUUUGAAUUCCGCAUGUUAUUCAAACUAAAGAUUUAUCGGUAACGGAUGGGGAUGCGUGACAUUAGGUAGAUGGCGGGGUAACGGCCCACCAUGCCCACGAUGUCUAGGGGUUCUGAGAGGAAGGUCCCCCACACUGGAACUGAGACACGGUCCAGACUCCUACGGGAGGCAGCAGUGAGGAAUAUUGGUCAAUGGCCGGAAGGCUGAACCAGCCAAGUAGCGUGAAGGAUGAAGGUUCUAUGGAUUGUAAACUUCUUUUAUACGGGAAUAAAACCACCUACGUGUAGGUGAUUGUAUGUACCGUAUGAAUAAGCAUCGGCUAACUCCGUG